rnacentral:rRNA from 1 species
UUGCGCCUACGGGGCGCAGCAGUGAGGAAUAUUGGUCAAUGGGCGGGAGCCUGAACCAGCCAAGUCGCGUGAGGGAAGACGGUCCUAUGGAUUGUAAACCUCUUUUGUCGGGGAGCAAAGAGGCCACGUGUGGUCAAAAGCGAGAGUACCCGAAGAAAAAGCAUCGGCUAACUCCGUGCCAGCAGCCGCGGUAAUACGGAGGAUGCGAGCGUUAUCCGGAUUUAUUGGGUUUAAAGGGUGCGUAGGCGGGACGGUAAGUCAGCUGUAAAAGUGCGGGGCUCAACCCCGGCGAGCCGUUGGAACUG